rnacentral:rRNA from 1 species
UACAGAGGUCUCAAGCGUUGUUCGGAUUCAUUGGGCGUAAAGAGCGUGUAGGCGGCCAGGUAGGUCUGCUGUGAAAACUCGAGGCUCAACCUCGAGAUGUCGGCGGAAACCAUCUGGCUAGAGUCCGGAAGAGGAGAGUGGAAUUCCUGGUGUAGCGGUGAAAUGCGCAGAUAUCAGGAAGAACACCCGUGGCGAAGGCGGCUCUCUGGGACGGUACUGACGCUGAGACGCGAAAGCGUGGGGAGCGAACAGG